UAACUCGCUCGGGCUGACAGCUAACAAU
rnacentral:sRNA from 1 species